GAUGAACGCUGGCGGCGUGCUUAACACAUGCAAGUCGAACGAAGCACUCUAUUUGAUUUUCUUCGGAAAUGAAGAUUUUGUGACUGAGUGGCGGACGGGUGAGUAACGCGUGGGUAACCUGCCUCAUACAGGGGGAUAACAGUUGGAAACGACUGCUAAUACCGCAUAAGCGCACAGGAUCGCAUGAUCCGGUGUGAAAAACUCCGGUGGUAUGAGAUGGACCCGCGUCUGAUUAGCCAGUUGGCAGGGUAACGGCCUACCAAAGCGACGAUCAGUAGCCGACCUGAGAGGGUGACCGGCCACAUUGGGACUGAGACACGGCCCAAACUCCUACGGGAGGCAGCAGUGGGGAAUAUUGCACAAUGGGGGAAACCCUGAUGCAGCGACGCCGCGUGAGCGAAGAAGUAUUUCGGUAUGUAAAGCUCUAUCAGCAGGGAAGAAGAAUGACGGUACCUGACUAAGAAGCACCGGCUAAAUACGUGCCAGCAGCCGCGGUAAUACGUAUGGUGCAAGCGUUAUCCGGAUUUACUGGGUGUAAAGGGAGCGCAGGCGGUGCGGCAAGUCUGAUGUGAAAGCCCGGGGCUCAACCCCGGUACUGCAUUGGAAACUGUCGUACUAGAGUGUCAGAGGGGUAAGUGGAAUUCCUAGUGUAGCGGUGAAAUGCGUAGAUAUUAGGAGGAACACCAGUGGCGAAGGCGGCUUACUGGACGAUAACUGACGCUGAGGCUCGAAAGCGUGGGGAGCAAACAGGAUUAGAUACCCUGGUAGUCCACGCCGUAAACGA
rnacentral:rRNA from 1 species